rnacentral:rRNA from 1 species
CCAGACUCCUACGGGAGGCAGCAGUGAGGAAUAUUGGUCAAUGGCCGAGAGGCUGAACCGGCCAAGUCGCGUGAGGGAAGACGGCCCUACGGGUUGUAAACCUCUUUUGUCGGGGAGCAAAGCGAACCACGUGUGGUUCAUUGAGAGUACCCGAAGAAAAAGCAUCGGCUAACUCCGUGCCAGCAGCCGCGGUAAUACGGAGGAUGCGAGCGUUAUUCGGAUUUAUUGGGUUUAAAGGGUGCGUAGGCGGAGUGUCAAGUCAGCGGUAAAAUUUCGGGGCUCAACCCCGUCGUGCCGUUGAAACUGACGCCCUUGAGUGAGUGAGAAGUAAGCGGAAUGCGUGGUGUAGCGGUGAAAUGCAUAGAUAUCACGCAGAACGCCGAUUGCGAAGGCAGCCUACCGGCGCUCAACUGACGCUGAGGCACGAAAGUGCGGGUAUCGAACAGGAUUAGAUACCCGAGUAUC